rnacentral:lncRNA from 1 species
AUAAAAUAUAAAAAUCUUAUUGCGUUGCGGGCCGGAACUCAAACAAAAUGGCAAAAGACCUUGGCAUAAACCUCAAUAGAAUUAUGAAUGAUAAACUCAGUGGGAUAGAAACCACAAGCAUCUUCUCUUUAUCAUCAUUACUUGACCCAAGAUUUAAAACACUCGGAUUCCAAAGCCCUUCAAAUGCCGAGUCAGCUGUGCACCGGUUAAAAUCGGAGUGUGCGGCAUUGUUGCGUAAUGCACCCACCCAAGAGGACCCGCCAUCCACUUCAACAGCACAGCCAGAACCAGCUGCUUCUUCCCAAGUCAUUGGUCUGUGGAAGCUGUUGGACAGGGAUGCUGAAGAAGCAAGAGCGUCCAGGAAUGCCACCGCUGAUGCCAUAGUGGAGGUGCAGCGUUAUCUGUCAGCCCCUCCACUUGAACGAUCACAGGACCCUCUGGUGUACUGGACGACAAACAAAGCCCUGUACCCAAACCUGUACCACCUGGCAAACCAGUACCUCGCAACACCAGCAUCCUCUGUGCCCUGCGAGAGGGUGUUUUCUAAAGCCGGGGAAAUAGUUUCAAAAAAGAGAAACCGCCUCAAACCCUCGACUGGAGAAACUGUUGUUUUUAAAUAAAAAUGCAUAAGCACACCAGUUCACCCAAGCACCUUAGGCCCAUACCCCCAUCUGUUCCUAAAAUAUAUAGAAAAAUAAUAUUAUAAUAAUAAUACAACAUCAAAAGUGCACAAACAGCAAAACUCAAAGUGCACGCUUGCUG